GCCCUCAUUGGGGGGUGGGGGGGGGUCCCUUUAAUUAGUAGAGGACCAUUAAUGAUGUGUGCCCUCAUUGGGGGGGGGAGGUCCACUUAAUUGAGGGGGGACCAUUAAUUAAUGGGAGGGCCCUUAAUGAUGUGUGCCCUCAUUAUGGGGGGGUCCCCUUAAUUAGUGGGGGGACCCUUAAUGAUGUGUGCUCUCAUUUUGGGGGGUCCCCGUAAUUAAUGGGGGGAACAUUAAUGAAGAAAGCUCUCAUUGUGGGGGGGUCCCCUUAAUUAAUGGGGGGACCCUUAAUGAAGUGAGCCCUCAUUGGGGGGGGGGGGGUUCCCUUAAUUAAUGGGGGAACCCUUAAUUGCGUAUACCCUAAUUAAGAGGGGGGAGUCCCCUUAAUUGGUAGGGGAAACCCUUAAUGAUGGAGGGAGCCUUAACGAUGUGGGGCCGCUAAUUAGGAGGGGGAUCCUCUUAAUUAAUGAGGGGGUCCCCUUAAUGAUGGACAGGCGCUAAUUGCGGAGGGAGGAGCCUUAAUUAAAUAGGGGCCUUAAUUAUGCGGGGGUUCCCCCUAAGAAUGGGGGAUCCCUUUAAUCACGGGGGGACCUUAAUUAGCGGGGGGACCCUUAAUUACGUAGGGGCCUUAAUUACGGGUGGGAGGGGCUUGCCUUAUGUAUGGUGGGGACCUUAAUGAUGGGCGGGGCCUUAAUUAACGAGGGGGCCCUUAAUGAUGGGGGUGACCCCUCGACAGGAAGGGCCUCAUUAAGAAGGGGCCUUAAUUAAUGAAGGGGCCUUAAUUACCAUGGGGUCCCUUUGCUGCUGGAAGGAGGUGGGGGGGGGGGGGGGUCCCUUUAACGAUGCAUCCCCUUAAUUGCAGGUGGGCUUUAAUUACAAAGGGGGGGGGGGGGGGCUAAUUAAGGGCGGUAUCCCCUUCUGUAUGGAGGGACCCCAAUUAAGAAAGGGGCCUUAAUUAGGGCCCCCCCCCCCCUUUUAUUCACUCCCAUCCAUCCCUUCAUCUGCCCCCCCCCAUUCACCCCCCUUUAUUACACCCCAUUAAGCCCCGCCCCUCCCAUUAAGCCCCGCCCACCCAUUAAACCACGCCCCUAUCAAUCACGACCCGUCCCUUAAGCCCCGCCCCCUUUCGCCAUAAGCCCCGCCCGCUUCCUUAAGCCACACCCCUCUCCCUCCCGAAGCUCUUCUCUAAACCGGAAGUCCCGCCCCUUCGCUUCCUCCCCGAUGCCCCUCCCACAGCCACGCCCCCUUUGGCUCCCUCCCUGGCCACGCCCCCUCGUAGAAAGCCCCGCCCACUUCCUUGAGCCACGCUUCUUUCCCUCACCCGCUCUCUCCGUUCCCUAAGCCCCGCCCCCGUGCCCUAAGCCCCGCCUAUCUCCUUUAAGCCACGCCCCUUUGCGCUCAGCUCUUCUAUAAACCGGAAGUCCCGCCCCUUAACUUCCUCCCCGCUGCCCCUCCCACAACCACGCCCCCUUGGCUGUCGCCCCGCCCCCUUUUACCUCUUCCUCCUUGACCACGCCCCCUCGUAGAAGCCCCGCCCACCCUUUAAGCCCCGCCCCCGCGGCCCCCCCUCCCCUUCCGCCGCCGCACCGACACCAAAUAUGGGGCGGCCCCGGGGGGGGCGGGGCCGAACCCCACCGGGGAGGGGGGCGGGGGGGGGGGGGAGGGGUCUGUAAGUGCCUGUGGGGGAGGGGAGGGGCGGGGGGCGGGGC
rnacentral:lncRNA from 1 species